GCGAGGAGCGAGCAGAGGAGCAGCCCGUGGGCGGCUGGCGGCGGCGGCUGCAGGGGGGGCCCGCGGCUGGCCGGCUGCGUGUUGCCCUGGGCAGCCCCGAGCCCCGGAGGCGCAGGGGCGGGCUCGGUGCGGUGGCGAUGCCCCGGGGACGCUCCGCUGGUGCAGCUCAGCCGCGCUGACGCGUCUCCUCCUCGUCCUCACCAUGGACAGCUUCGACUUCGCUCUGCUCCAGGAAUGGGACCUGGACUCCCUCUGUGUCUAUGAACCAGACAGAAAUGUUCUGCGGAGAAAAGAAUGGGAGAGGAGAAAUCAGGAGGCACAACAGGAAGAUGGUUCGUUUAAUACCAGUUAUUCCCUCUUCAGUGAACCGUACAAGACUAACAAGGGGGAUGAGCUCUCAAAUCGUAUCCAGAAUACAUUAGGCAACUAUGAUGAAAUGAAGGACUUAUUGACGGAUCGAUCCAACCAGAGUCAUCUUGUUGGAGUUCCAAAACCUGGGAUUCAACAGGCACCUGUGAACAAAACUGAUGAACAUUUUAUUGUAGAUUCAAGACCACAGUCUCAGCCUUCCAUCUGCAGCACUUCAUCAUCCAUACCAGCAGCUCUAUCUGGUCAGCAAAGCAAGAGCCCCACAAUGGGUUGGCAGAAAGCUGGGCACAAUGCUUCUGAUGGCCAGCAGAGGGCAAGCAAGCAAGGGCACAGAUUGCUUGAGUCACACAACAGUGACUUCAAAAUGGCUAACCAAAAAACCAGUCUGGAAAAGCUUAAACACUUUGCAUCGAGUCCCACAUCGUCAUCUGUCAGUGCUGCAAAACAAGGUACUUUAAGAUCUGUGCUUGGAGACAGUGUCAGCAAAGCACAACAGCAGUCCAAAUUAAAUUGCAGUUUAGAAGCGGGAUCUCAGGCUCAAGAAAGGCCAGCAAAACACAGCACUGGGCACUGUGUUCAGAACUUCCCUCCUUCACUUGCUUCAAAGCCUAAUAUAAUUCAACAGAAACCAACGGCUUAUGUAAGACCAAUGGAUGGUCAAGAUCAGACUCCUGAUGAGUCUCCAAAGCUAAAGUUAUCGGCAGAAGCUAACAAGCACUGUACAUCAUAUAGGGGAGUGCCUUCUAAUAAGCCUGACCCAGCUAUGGCCAAGACCAAGAUGGCAACAUUUAACGUUCCCAAGCAAGAAGAGGAGAGUGGAACAGGAGAUAACAGCUGUAUUGAAGAAAUUUUGCGGGAGAUGACCCAUUCUUGGCCUCCACCACUCUCAGCUAUUCACACACCUGGAAAAGUGGAACAGAACAAGUUUCCAUUUGCAAACAAGGAGUCGCAGCAGGUGUCUACAGGACACAGCAAUCCAAGGAAAGGUGAGGCUGAGCCAAAGAAUCCAGAAAACAGUGCAUCACAUACAUCAAUGCUAGAAGAUGACCUCAAGUUAAGUAGUGAUGAAGAAGAGAAUGAUCAGCAGGCAGCACAGAGAUCUGCUCUCCGCAUUCUGUCUGACAGCACUGUCGUGCCGCAGCCCAGUAGCAGAACCUCGGGACUCUCCAGCAAGAGGUCAAGUAGCAGCAGCUCCAGUGAAUCCGAGAGCAGUUCCGAAUCUGACUCAGAGAGUGAAAGCAGUUCCAGUGAGAGUGACGGCAGCAAGCCCUCUCAUUACUCCAGCCCAGAGCCUGAGCAGCCAUCAUCAAACAAGUGGCAGUUGGAUAAAUGGCUAAAUAAAGUUAAUCCUCACAAAACAUCUAUUCUUAACCAAAAUGAUAACCAUGGACUGGAGAGCAAUCAGUAUUACAGCAGAAUAAAGGAUGAAGGACAGGAGUGUGAGAAAACAGCAGCUAUUUGCCAAACUGAACUUAGAGAAAAGGAAAUUAAGAACCCCAGCAAAGAGGAGUUGAGACCUAGAACUGCUAAUAAAGCACCAGGAAAUAAAGGAGGGAAGCAGAAAUCACCUCCUACGGCUGCUGCUGUUUCUGGAGACAGCGGCCCUCAGAGAAGGACGACUUGUAAAAAACAGCCAAGAAGAACAGAGAGGACCUCUGGUGGGGAUGCCUUGAACUGCCAUGCAUCUGAGGAUCUCGCUUUGAGCCAAGUAUUUUUGGAAAAUAACAUCUGUGAACAACCUAAAGCCAGGCCCUGCAACAACAGAACUGGGCACAGAAAAGAGCCCCGCUCUGUCGCUGCAUGUGAAAAGAGACGUACCAGAGGGCCAAGCAAAACUGCACCCAAAUCCAAGGAAUUUAUCGAGACAGAGUCUUCGUCUUCAUCGUCUUCCUCAGCUUCAGAUUCAGAAUCCGAACAAGAGGAAUAUCCUCUGCCCAAACCUCAAACUGUGGCCUCUGCUUCAGGUGGGAGUGAUCAGAGGUUGAAGGACUCCGUGAGCAGUAACACCAACAAAACUAACAGCAGCUGCAGUGCCUUUGGCUCCAUUAAUGCCAGGACUAGUAAUGAUAUAGCAAAGGAGCUGGAGGAACAGUUUUAUACUCUAGUUCCUUUUGGCAGGAACGAGCUCCUGUCUCCUCUGAAAGACACUGAUGAGGUAAAAUCACUGUGGGUCAAAAUUGAUUUGACUCUUUUGUCCAGAAUUCCAGAGCGUUUACCAGAGGAGCCACUGGCAAUGAGCACUGGAGCAAAAGAAGAAGCCAGCCUUCAGCAGAAUAAUUGUACUUACCCACCAGCAGAAAAGGUUGUGCCAAAAUCUAGAAGGAAACGCAAGUGUGAAAAUGAAGAAGAAGACAGGGAGAUCAAGAAGACUCAUUUAGAGCGAGAGUGUUCUUCACGAUUAAUUGCCUCUGCCCCAGGUAUUUCAACAGCAAAUCAUUGCAACAGGAAUGAACAUAGCUUGGCGAUACCAAUAAAUAAAAAUGAGAAAAUGCUUCGGUCACCCAUCUCACCCCUCUCUGAUGCAUCAAAACACAAAUACUCCACUGAUGAUUUAACUUCUUCCAGUAGACCUAAUGGCAGCAGUCUAUUACCUUCCAUGUCCUCCAGCAAAAAACAUAAGAGUGAAAUCCAGCCACAGCCACAUCCUGCAGACUGCAAUAAAGCAGUUCACAUCAAUUCAGAAAGUGUUCUCUGCAACAAGCCACACUCCCAAACAGAGCCUUGGCCAUCUUUAUCCAGGGCACACAAAGACUGCAGAAGAACAAAGCUCAUCUUUGAUGAUAUACCACGCAAUGCAGAUCACUUUAUGCAAGAAGCUAAACGGAAGAAGCAUAAAGCAGACGCGAUGGUGGAAAAAUUUGGAAAGGCACUGAAUUACGCUGAAGCAGCAUUAUCAUUUAUUGAAUGUGGAAAUGCUAUGGAACAAGGCCCCAUGGAAUCUAAAUCCCCUUAUACAAUGUAUUCAGAAACAGUUGAACUUAUCAGGUAUGCUGUGAGACUAAAAACCCACGCAGGCCCUAAUGCCACUCCAGAGGACAAACAGCUAGCAGCAUUAUGUUAUCGCUGUUUGGCACUUCUAUACUGGAGAAUGUUCCGACUCAAAAGAGACCAUGCUGUAAAGUAUUCAAAAGCACUUAUUGAUUAUUUCAAGAAUUCAUCAAAAGCUGCCCAGGCUCCAUCUCCGUGGGGUGCCAGUGGAAAGAGCACAGGAACUCCAUCCCCCAUAUCUCCUAGCCCUUCUCCUGUCAGCUCUGUAGGAUCCCAGGGGAGCACCAGUGCCCCUUCCCCCUCUUCCACUAUCAGCAUUCCACAGCGUAUUCAUCAGAUGGCAGCCAAUCACGUCAGUAUUACCAACAGCAUCCUGCACAGCUAUGACUACUGGGAGAUGGCUGACAAUCUAGCCAAGGAAAAUAGAGAGUUUUUUAAUGAGUUGGAUGCAUUGAUGGGACCUGUCACCCUACACAGCAGUAUGGAGCAUUUAGUUCAGUACACUCAACAAGGACUUCACUGGGUACGGAAUAGUGCUCACGCAAAAGACUGUAUGCCAUUCAAAUGAACUGCAUAAUCUCCCAUGGACAAUUCAGUUAUUCUGGACACUGUGCUACAGAAAUAAUCAACCAUAGCAUCCAAACAAAGAGAUUCCAUCUCAAUCUUUCAGAGGUGAAGAUGUCAACUUGUUCAAAUCCAGCUCAAAAGCAAGAUUAUGCCUGGAGGGAGAGGUUUGGUAUAAAACAGAAACUUCUGAAUGUGACAAACAGCUAGUCUACCAGCUGACGAGUACAUGCAGGCAUGGGAAAUCAACUGGAAUAUUAUCAAAUAAAAUGUGUGCCACAGUUGGACACAAAGGCAAUACAGUGAGGUUUUUUGCAUUAAAAAUGCUGUGAGAUACUCUGAGAUGUUCACAAACACCUAGUCAGUGAGAUAUUCAGACACACUUAGGCCUUGAUCCUGUAAGAUGUGCAGCAAGGAGUGCAAGGGUGAGUGGAAGAGAUGUAUAGUUUCAAGUAUGGCUGACCACUGAGCAUAGGCACCUAUACUGUGGGGCGGCAAAUCCCAGGCCCCUUCCACAGCCCUUUCCUUAUUCUAAAUCUCACAGGGUUUAACGGGAAGGGGUGUAGGCAGAUGUUGGGCAUGUGAGGAGACAUGAUAUUCAGUGUAGGCCCAGAUCCUCCAAGGUAUUUAGGCACCUAACUCCCAUGUAUUUCAAUGGAAGUUACGUGCCUAGUAUCUUGGAGGAUCUGGGCGGUAUCCCUCAGCACGCAACACUGGUGCUCAGUUAUGCGCUCCUUGUCUGAGCUUUACUUCUGCUACUGGGAGUAACUUGGCAGCCUGGAAAGUAGUAAUCUCAUUAAUGCAGAAUCAGAUUCCCUGCUCUCCCGGUACAGCUCAUCACUUUUUACCUUUCACUCCCACAUGCAGCAGGCUUCACCUGCACUGUGCAGGAUCAAGCCCUCAGUGUACGUAUGCACACGUGUCUAUAUCUAAAUCAUGAAAAAGUUCAGUCAGCACAAAGGAUAUUACCUGUGCCUCCCAUUGCUCAUUGAGUACAUGUCACUGAAUGGCCAUAUCACCUCAGAAGAGCAGUAAUUGUUAUCAAGGUAAUAUGUGCAGCUAAUUAAUGUGUAAGACUCUCACCUUGGGAAUGGUGCAGUCGUAUAUCUUUCAUAAUACCAAUUUUCACCCAUUUUUCAUGGCUCUGAUAUAAAUCUGCAUAACUAAAAUGUCAGGAUUUUUUUAAAAAAGAAGACAUACACUUAGACCUGGCUAAUCUGUGCUUAGUUUAUCUACUCAAGAGACUUUACUAGACACCAGCCUUAAUGCCUAUACGGUAUAUACUAUUGAGUGACUUAGUCGCAGUGUUUAAGCCAAAUGAAAUUGGAAUUAGCAA